AUGAAAGUAUUUUUAAAGCAACGUCAAUGUCUAGAACAAAAAAAAAAAAGGUGGGGGGAGGAGGAAGAAGAUGGAGACCCUUCUGGAAACGAGACUCCGAGAAAUAACCCCAAAACGAAUGCACCCGCGCCGCCGCCCCUCCUUGCCGAAAGGGGCUUUCGAUUUGGAGCUGUCAGCUCGGCAGACGCGGCGAGCCGUCGCUUAUCGAGCUGCAUCUUGUACGGAACAUCUGGCGGAGCAGCUUCAAAGCGGCGGAGGAAAGUUGCGCAGUUCUCCCCCCCCCCCCAAGAUGCUUUUGGAAUUCUCUGCCUUGCCACAAGAAGCUUUGGUCACGCAGAACUGUUGCCAGCUCCUAGGACUGAACCACACAAAACACUGCAAAGCCAGCUUCAUCGGAUUGCCUGUCCUGAAUUUUGCUUGGGAAUCUACCUGAAGCUCUGCAUCUCAUCCCUUGUCAACUCCUGCUUGUCUUAG
rnacentral:lncRNA from 1 species